rnacentral:rRNA from 1 species
UACGUAGGGGGCUAGCGUUGUCCGGAAUCAUUGGGCGUAAAGAGCGCGUAGGCGGCCCGGUAAGUCCGCUGUAAAAGUCAAAGGCUCAACCUUUGAAUGUCAGUGGAUACUGCCGGGCUAGAGUCCGGAAGAGGCGAGUGGAAUUCCUGGUGUAGCGGUGGAAUGCGCAGAUAUCAGGAGGAACACCGGUGGCGAAGGCGGCAUUCUGGACCGAUAUUGACGCUGAGGAGCGAAAGCCAGGGGAGCAAACGGG